CCGAUCUCUGGGGACCGACCGGUCUCUCAGAGAGGGACCGGUUCUCGAGAGCUGGUUCUCAGGGACUUAGCCGAUUUUUGGCUUUUCUUAUUUCUUGCGCGUUCGGGGACCGGUCUCUCCCACCAGGGACUGGUCCCCGAGAGCUCAAAAACUGCAGUUUGCAGAUUUUUGAUUCUUUAGCUCUCGAAAACCUUCCACAACGCACUUUUACUCAUUUUAACACCUUCGGACUUUCCGAA
rnacentral:lncRNA from 1 species